GUUAUGUGGACCAACUCUGGCCAAAGAAGCAUGAAGACUAGUCAACUAGGGGAGGAAGAAACGAGUUUCCAUUGAGCUGUGGAUGGUGUUCAUCUCAGACAUUUAAAGGAAAGAAGAGAAAUUGUUUGAAAGAGCUGGUAUCUGGCAACCCAGAACACUGAACAUGUACGUCACAGAUUUGUAAAUAACCAGUGCCACAUAAGCCCUGAUAUUUCAUAGAUAUCCUCCUGGCAUUUUGUUCCAACCCAUUCCAGAGGAGAUCAGUUCACCAUAUGGGAAUGAAGAUAAGAAGUCCAUUCUUCCACCUGAAACCUCUCCACAGGAUAAAAACGUUUCUGAAUCCUAUAGAUAUAUUCCACCAUGGAAUUUAAUCUAUAUA